UACGUAGGGUGCGAGCGUUGUCCGGAAUUAUUGGGCGUAAAGAGCUCGUAGGCGGUUUGUCGCGUCGACUGUGAAAACCCGAGGCUUAACCUCGGGCCUGCAGUCGAUACGGGCAGACUAGAGUUCGGUAGGGGAGACUGGAAUUCCUGGUGUAGCGGUGAAAUGCGCAGAUAUCUGGAGGAACACCGGUGGCGAAGGCGGCAUCCUGGACCAACACUGACGCUGAGGAGCGAAAGCGUGGGGAGCGAACAGG
rnacentral:rRNA from 1 species